rnacentral:rRNA from 1 species
GAACGGUAACAGGUCUUCGGACGCUGACGAGUGGCGAACGGGUGAGUAAUACAUCGGAACGUGCCCAGUCGUGGGGGAUAACUACUCGAAAGAGUAGCUAAUACCGCAUACGAUCUGAGGAUGAAAGCGGGGGACCUUCGGGCCUCGCGCGAUUGGAGCGGCCGAUGGCAGAUUAGGUAGUUGGUGGGAUAAAAGCUUACCAAGCCGACGAUCUGUAGCUGGUCUGAGAGGACGACCAGCCACACUGGGACUGAGACACGGCCCAGACUCCUACGGGAGGCAGCAGUGGGGAAUUUUGGACAAUGGGCGAAAGCCUGAUCCAGCAAUGCCGCGUGCAGGAUGAAGGCCUUCGGGUUUGUAAACUGCUUUUGUACGGAACGAAAAAGCUCCUUCUAAUACAGGGGGCCCAUGACGGUACCGUAAGAAUAAGCACCGGCUAACUACGUGCCAGCAGCCGCGGUAAUACGUAGGGUGCGAGCGUUAAUCGGAAUUACUGGGCGUAAAGCGUGCGCAGGCGGUUAUGUAAGACAGAUGUGAAAUCCCCGG